rnacentral:rRNA from 1 species
AGAGUUUGAUCAUGGCUCAGGAUGAACGCUAGCUACAGGCUUAACACAUGCAAGUCGAGGGGCAGCAUGGUCUUAGCUUGCUAAGGCCGAUGGCGACCGGCGCACGGGUGAGUAACACGUAUCCAACCUGCCGUCUACUCUUGGACAGCCUUCUGAAAGGAAGAUUAAUACAAGAUGGCAUCAUGAGUCCGCAUGUUCACAUGAUUAAAGGUAUUCCGGUAGACGAUGGGGAUGCGUUCCAUUAGAUAGUAGGCGGGGUAACGGCCCACCUAGUCUUCGAUGGAUAGGGGUUCUGAGAGGAAGGUCCCCCACAUUGGAACUGAGACACGGUCCAAACUCCUACGGGAGGCAGCAGUGAGGAAUAUUGGUCAAUGGGCGAGAGCCUGAACCAGCCAAGUAGCGUGAAGGAUGACUGCCCUAUGGGUUGUAAACUUCUUUUAUAAAGGAAUAAAGUCGGGUAUGCAUACCCGUUUGCAUGUACUUUAUGAAUAAGGAUCGGCUAACUCCGUGCCAGCAGCCGCGGUAAUACGGAGGAUCCGAGCGUUAUCCGGAUUUAUUGGGUUUAAAGGGAGCGUAGAUGGAUGUUUAAGUCAGUUGUGAAAGUUUGCGGCUCAACCGUAAAAUUGCAGUUGAUACUGGAUAUCUUGAGUGCAGUUGAGGCAGGCGGAAUUCGUGGUGUAGCGGUGAAAUGCUUAGAUACCACGAAGAACUCCGAUUGCGAAGGCAGCCUGCUAAGCUGCAACUGACAUUGAGGCUCGAAAGUGUGGGUAUCAAACAGGAUUAGAUACCCUGGUAGUCCACACGGUAAACGAUGAAUACUCGCUGUUUGCGAUAUACAGCAAGCGGCCAAGCGAAAGCGUUAAGUAUUCCACCUGGGGAGUACGCCGGCAACGGUGAAACUCAAAGGAAUUGACGGGGGCCCGCACAAGCGGAGGAACAUGUGGUUUAAUUCGAUGAUACGCGAGGAACCUUACCCGGGCUUAAAUUGCAGAUGAAUUACGGUGAAAGCCGUAAGCCGCAAGGCAUCUGUGAAGGUGCUGCAUGGUUGUCGUCAGCUCGUGCCGUGAGGUGUCGGCUUAAGUGCCAUAACGAGCGCAACCCUUGUUGUCAGUUACUAACAGGUUCCGCUGAGGACUCUGACAAGACUGCCAUCGUAAGAUGUGAGGAAGGUGGGGAUGACGUCAAAUCAGCACGGCCCUUACGUCCGGGGCUACACACGUGUUACAAUGGGGGGUACAGAGGGCCGCUACCACGCUAGUGGAUGCCAAUCCCAAAAACCUCUCUCAGUUCGGACUGGAGUCUGCAACCCGACUCCACGAAGCUGGAUUCGCUAGUAAUCGCGCAUCAGCCACGGCGCGGUGAAUACGUUCCCGGGCCUUGUACACACCGCCCGUCAAGCCAUGGGAGCCGGGGGUACCUGAAGUGCGUAACCGCGAGGAGCGCCCUAGGGUAAAACUGGUGACUGGGGCUAAGUCGUAACAAGGUA